rnacentral:misc_RNA from 1 species
AAUGGCCGCAGUAUUUUAACUGUGCAAAGGUAGCAUAAUCAUUAGUUUUUUAAUUGAAAGCUUGUAUGAAAGGUUGGAUGAAGUAAAUUCUGUCUUUAUAUAAUUUAAAUUAGAAUUUAAUUUUUAAGUUAAAAAGCUUAAAUUUUUUUAAAAGACAAGAAGACCCUAUAGAGUUUUAUAUUUUUAAUUUAAAUUUAUUUUUUGAUAUAUUUAUUUUUUAAGUAAAAGAAUAUUUUAUUGGGGUAAUAGGAAGAUAAUAAUAAUUCUUUUUUUUUUAUACAUAAAUAAAUGAAAUAAAUGAUCCAUUAUUAAUGAUUAUAAGAUUAAAUUACCUUAGGGAUAACAGCGUAAUUUUUUUAGAGAGUUCGUAUCGAUAAAAGAGUUUGCGACCUCGAUGUUGGAUUAAAGAUUAAUUUAGGUGCAAAAGUUUAAAUGUUUGGUCUGUUCGACCAUUAAAUCUUUACAUGAUCUGAGUUCAGACCGGUGUAAGCCAGGUUGGUUUCUAUCUUUAAUUAUUUAAUAUAUUUUAGUACGAAAGGACCAAAUAUUUAUUAUAAUAAUUUAUAUUUUGAAAAUUAGUGUUAUUUUGGCAGAUUAGUGUAAUGAAUUUAGAAUUCAUAAAUGUAAUUAUUUACAAAUAAUAU